rnacentral:misc_RNA from 1 species
GUGGGAGGGGGCUUGCUCCCGAUGGCGGUGUGUCAGGCAGUACAUCUGUCACUGAUCCACUGCUAUCGGGAGCAAGCCCCCUCCCAC